rnacentral:lncRNA from 1 species
AGAGUCCAUUAUCAUUGUGGCAGGGAACAUGGCGGCAGGCAGGCAUGGUAUAGGAGCAGCAGCCGAGAGCUUAUAGUAGGUCCACAAAUAGGAAGUAGAAAGAGUACACUGGGAAUAAUGGGAAGCAAGGCCACACCUCCUAAUCCUUCCCAAACAGCCACCAGCUAGGAACCAACUUUCAAAUGAAGAGACUCACCUGAAAUACUGCACAAUGAUGGUUAUCUGAACUCCAUCCCUUACUACCUCAUUGGAGGUUGUAGGUCUGCUUUAAUCCAGUAUCCUGGUGUGCUCUUUACGGUAUUCUAUUUCAAAGGUCUCUGAGAAUGAAGAGCUGGGCGUUUUAUCACCAUCUAAUAUGCAGUGCUACGCCGCACUCCCCCACCCUACUCCCCUCAGUGCUUCAAGCCCCUCUACAGUUGUACCCCGGCUGCUCUUGUGGGAAGCCAACUUCCUAUUCUCUGCUGUCUCUUGAUUGUCUGAAGAGAGCAGCAUGUCAGCUGCUUGGAGCCACCAUCUCACAGCAAAGGCAUGAUAUAAAGUGCAGAACUCAACCAGGGUGGGUUGCUCCUUGACGGCAUCUCUGCUCAAUGACUGCAUCGGAGGAGAAGGAAGGUGAAGCCCAGGGUUUCCACAGCCGCUUGGCCCAUUUCCCAAAGGUUUACUAGCAGGCUUUUGAAGACAGGAAGUAUACAGUGAAGAUUUAUUUCUCAUUGGACAUAACCAACAGCGUGUAGCCGGGGAGACUGGAGUGGAACACUUGGGAGCUCAGCCCUGCCCAGCCUGAGAAAUGGGCCUGGACUAUGCCUCUCUGGCUUGUCAGCGAGUGCUGGAGGGGGCUUUUGCUAUGGACUGGUUUUCAGCCGAGAAUCACAGAGUGUUAGUCCUGAUUCCAGCUUCUUACCUGCUUUUUCUUUUUAUGUUAGAUCCUUACAUGGUUUUGAUAGUGAAAUUAGCAAACAUAGGUGGACAGAAAGGAAAAAGAAAAGCACCAUAAAAGGAAAAUUACCCAGGAGAAAGCAUCGUGUUCCCCACUCGGGUUAACAGCUUUUAAGACUGCCAGACACUCUUUCAGGGCUGAGCGGAUGUCCCUUGGAGCAUAGAUCAAUUAGCACACUAUGUUAUACUUUCUGUCGCUACUUUGUAAAUUUACAGAUAGUAAAUUUACAUCAUAAGCUUGGCCUGAUGUUUUCAAAGAAAUUCCUCCCUAUUAAACAAAUUUUAAACAAUACAUAACAACUGUCUUUCUCUGACUUAGAAUUACAAACCCCAGAUGCACGCCCGGCUUUUUAAGCAUCAGGAAAACAAAUCUUUAAGUAAA